GCAGUAGAUCAUCAUGCCAUAUUACAAACGGCUUUUGGAAAUUCCCUCCAUUUCUAAAGAAGCUUACCAGAUGGUAUGAGGGAGACGGUGCUGUUUGACAGACAGAAACCUAAAGCUCCUACACAGAGUUUGUCUUGUGGUCAGUGUGUGGCCAUGAAAAAUUUCCCUGGCUGGAGAGGCUGGGGAUUUGCUGGGCCCAGAGACAGGAAAGGGAUCUGGACAUCUGAGCCGUUCUGGAUCAGAGGCAACACAAAGGAAGGUCCGAUGCAUGCUGCCGGGAGCUGGUUUUGGCUCUUGCAACAGAAGUCUGCACAAAAACCAGUUGGACCAGAUCAGAAAAAACAAAUGCACAAUCCUGUUGCGUCAGGACUAUUAGGAACCACUGUAGUUUGAGGGCUAUUGUCAUUGGGGAACCUAGCAUCUGGCAAUACUGUACUGAGCCAUUAUAUUUGCAUGUAACAGGAAGAGCAUACAGCCAGAAUAAUAUAUCCUGUCAGUAUCUUGGUUAAUCUGUUCUUAUGCCAAA